rnacentral:lncRNA from 1 species
UUUAACUUCUCGAACCUUGGAUGUUCCUUCAUAACUCACCACUAGAGUGUCCCAAAUUUCCUUAGUUGUGUUGCGUGAGGAAACUUUAUUGAUCUCGGAUUGUACCAUGCCGCUAAGUAAUGUGUUCAUGACCCUUAAGCACCUAUGCUUCCUUGAACCUGUUUAUAAACAACCCUUAAUCCACUAGGAUUAAAUUUCUU